rnacentral:tRNA from 1 species
GGGUCCGUCGUCUAGUGGCUAGGACGCCACCCUGACGCGGUGGAGGUCCCGGUUCGAUUCCGGGCGGACCCA